GUCUGCAGCCAUACCACCCUGAAUGUGUGCGAUCUUGUCUGAUCUCAGAAGCUAAGCAGGGGUGCACCUGGUUAGUACUUGGAUGGGAGAAGGAAAAGGAAUGUUUAAACA
rnacentral:rRNA from 1 species